rnacentral:lncRNA from 1 species
AAGUAUCUGGUCAAAUCAUGGCCCUUGGAGGAGUUGAUCUCACCCAGGUUCUUGAGGGAGGCCUGUGGCUUUUCAUUUACUCCCCAGCUGGAGGCUCCCGGCCUGUCUGGGACUCACAGACCCUGGAGAAUGACAAGAAGAGCCUCGGAUAUCAGACCCCGGCAGGUUUGCCGGUCUUGGUACUGCCCUCCUGGAGAGAUGUCUUGCCUUGUGGAGAGGCUGUUCCUGUCAGUGAGUGGCCCUGUGUCAGUGGGGAUGCGAGGUGCCUGCCCAGCUUGACUGCUGCCCGGCUGCCCAGGCUACCCAUGUGUUCUGUGAGAUUCCGUUUCUAGAUAUUUCUUGGGGAAGCCAUGCUCUUUGUCAAUUUUCCCUCCUGUUUUGAACUAGCUGAAACACCUUCCCUCAUAGUUGGUUAAGGGCUGGGGUUGGG